rnacentral:lncRNA from 1 species
UGUUCCUUUUUCUUGUAGAGAUCAUCUUGACAACUGUAACUUGGGAAGAUGAACUGAGCUAUGAUCAACCUUGAUUAAACCUGAGGCCAACCUGUUAAAUACAAAAGUUGAAAACCAAACCAGAUGAAAUAUUCAAAAAUUGUAACUUCCGUCAAUAAUCUAAAUUAAAUACCUAUCACAGGAAACAAAUCCUAGGCAGCUUUCAAGAGAAUUGGAUGAAAUAUUGGUAUAAUAGCCUGGCUCUGGGUUUAGGUCCCAGUGCUUUCAGCAGAAAGAAUCACUUUCUCCCUGCCAGUUGGUUAGGAAAGGUUCCAUGCUGGAGGGAAUCCCAGAUGUCAACAGGGGAGAAGCUCUGUCACUUGAGAGAGGUGAGGUGGUGCGGGGAAGAAGUCAAAGGCAGGUGGGAGGAACUCAAUAACAAGUACUAGCAUUUCCCAGAGCCAUAAAGUGCUUGUCCACUUGCAUUGAGAAACUGAUAAGUUGACCCUCCUCCUCACAUCAUUCAUAUGUUCUAGAAAUCCUACUUCUUCCAUGAGACCUUCCUACAACACAUUCAGUCAAGCCUAAACUCUUCCCCUUUGUCAGUGGCUUUAGAUUGGAUAUGUUAAAUUUUCUUUCUCCACCUAAAUUUGUAUUAACCCCUGACACCUAUUUCCAUUGUAAUGGUUUAGUAAAUUAUGCCUUCUAUGUCCCUUCAUCAAGCAGAUGAGAGACAUCUCA